GGUUGAAUGGUGUAACGGUAGCACAUAAGAUUUUGACUCCAAUCCAAAGUUUCUUGUGACCUGGGUUCGACUCCCAGUUCGACCU